GAAGUAAAGGAAGAGAAGGGGGGUCUAUGAGCCAUAAAAUCGGAGUGCGCCAAAAGAUUUGUGUAACUGCGCUUGUCAUAUGACAUGAAAAGAUCAUUUGAGCGGCAUCACAAUCUUCAGCCGAAAGAUGGUGAAAGAAUCAUCAUUAAGUGGUACACGGCCUGAAAUCCAGAGACACUUCUACCGCCACUCGCUUACAUUGUCCCCAGACGAGUCCAUCCAUCUGAAUGCUGCGGACGCACUCCUCCAACUUGGCCAUGUCAGUCUCGUCAUCCCAUGGUUUGACAUCCAAAAGAAUCGAGGAUUUGGCAAUGAGGGCAGGUUCUGAAUGGAGGGAGGGCAGUGUCAAUUACCACCAUGGAAACAACUUACCAGCUAAUUAUACUAGGCCAUGCCUUGGACACUGUCAGGUAUGUAUAGCGUACAUCACACGUCAGCCGAAAGAUGGUUUGACAAUCAUCAUGAAGAGUCCAAACCUAAGAUUGACACCAGCGGUAUUAAAACGGAGAAAAAAAAAAGUUGUCACUUACUGGUUGAUUUCUUGGCGGCAUACGCUGCGAUACGCUCCUCCUUCAGCCUUGCGGCCUCUGCAUCCUCCUACAAGAUGACAGAUGGCAGGUUAGCAUUAACAAGUUGACGCCAACCAUUUCAAGCUGACAAGCCCUGUAGUUCCGUCCUCACCUCAUCGUCAGAGCCAAACAGAUCAACAUCAUCGUCGUCAUCGUCAUCAGCUGCCUUUUGAGCGACUGCUGCAGUGGAGUCACCUACACCCGCUGGGCCAUAUUGACCCAAAGGUUUCUUCACACCUGGAAGACUGACAAAACAGGCAGUUUAGCUCCAGUUCCAGAGAGCUUCUGUCUGUCACUACGGCAACAGUACACACCUAUUCUUCUGGCUCUGAUAGGACUUGAUAUGGUUGAACCAACGUAGGGCAUGGCAAAGGUCCGAUGGGGGUGGGGCUGAGAUUGCCUCAAAAACAGCAACAUCUGCCUGGGAAGG